rnacentral:misc_RNA from 1 species
CUAGAGGAUUUAGGUAUCUUUGGGGCUGUGCACCACACUUUGAGAAAUACUAGAGAAGCUAGAAAAGUGAAUUUUGCCUUUCAUUAUGUAAUCUGUUCCCAGUUGCUUCGAGCCCCUCGGGUGUGUGUGUGUUAAUCACUUAGUCAAGUCUGACUCUUUGACCCCAUGGGGUGUUGUCCACCAGGCUCCUCUGUCGAAGGAAUUUUCCAGGCAAGAAUACUGGAGUGGGUUGCCAUUUCUUUCUC